AAGUCAUUUCCACUACCAACCAUAUGUCUCUGGUUAGAAAUUUGAAACUGAAGAGUGCAGAGUUUGGAAAGAGAAAUGUGCAAAUCAGUCACUUUUCUAAUGAAAUGACAAGGCACCUGUAGCUCCUGAAACGUGUGCUUUGGAUGGGAACGCUGGACCUUUGCCCUGCCUGUUACAGCAUCAAAUUGUACCUGCAUCUGUCAUUUGCUGUGGUCCAAGCUGUGUGAAGCUGAUGAAUAUGCGAGAGUUACAAUUGUACAUCACUGCCAAGAUAUGUGACCCUCCUGAGAUUGCAGUCAUUCCAAGGAGGUGAAUUCCUGUGUCAUUGUGGGUAUCAUGCAUGACCUAUUGGGUCACCAGCAGCGAAAUCCUCACGAUAUCCAGGUCAUUGUGGUAGUUCAAAUUUUCAUUCCAAAGAAGGGGAGUCACAUGCUAUCCUUCUCUUUACAAGUGACUAGUGUAGGAUAGAAUCUCUGUCCAACUUAGAAACAGUUUCUCCUCAUUAUCAAGAAUGUUCUGAAAGCAAAUCAGCUGCUGUUUUAGUCAUCAGUACCACUUUCUGGUGGGUUUACUAUUCCUCCCUGUCUUAGAAAUAGUUUUCUUUUAAUUUUAUCCCCCUAUCCUGCCACCCUUUAAAACUCUUUUCCUCAUUUCCCACAUUUCUACUGUGCUCUGUCUUCCUCUCCCAUCCUGUAAUUUUUUGGAGUCACAGGCUCAGUCUUGGGUCUUUGGCUCAUUUUACCCUAGAUUCAUCCUAUACACAUUUUCAUC